rnacentral:lncRNA from 1 species
CUCUCCAGGCCCGCUGCUUCUGCCAGCUGGAUGUUGCGUCGUCCCUCGCUAUUCGCCCUCCUAUAAUCACUGCUUCCAUGUUGAAUCAAAACAAUUAUGCUUUCGUUCUCCCUUCUUCAAUUGCCCUAUCUUCACACCUGAACACUAUUGCUCCGGUAUCCUGCCAUUUUGGAUCAGGGCGGUUGACGGUGGAUUCACUUCCCAUCAGCCCUUGAGGCUGCAGGGACCAGCCCUUUGUACAGUGGAGAAGCCCAGGCGGCCUAGAAUCCAGUGUCGUCCGUGAGUGCUUGGCUGGUGUUCAAGUGCAUCUUCCAGCCUGAGACCGCGUGGACUCGCUCAUCGUGAGGGCGAGAGGAGGAUAAGCCCAUUGGGCUGUCGGCUGAGAGUGAGGUGCGGGGUAAGGGAGUAGAUUUAUAGCUAUAGUGACUAAAAAUAAAAGGAUGUUGGCUUAGGUGGAAAACCUCUCUGCUUUGGGAAGCUGGAGCAGCUUGUGGGCAUUGCUUCAACCAGCUGAUCCCACUUUCCAUUCAUUGCUUUGUUUCAGGAGGUUCUUUAUUUGUAAACGUCCCCUGCAAUUUUUUACACACCCAAGCAGCUCCUUAAAUGUAUUACUGUAUAUGUGGUAGUAUAAAAUAUUUAUGGGUUCAUUCCAGCAAGUGUUUAUGGAGCGUCCACAAAGUUGCCCUGGAGUUCAUGGCACUAAGUGAAAGAGACAAAGUCGUCAGUCUCCCAGGGAUUAUAUAGAGCAGCGGCCCCCAACCUUUUGGUCAACAGGGACCGGUUUCGUGGUGGGGGGGUGGAUGAUGGUUUCAGGAUGAUUCAAAGGCAUUACAUUUAUCAUUAGAUUCUCAUAAGGAGCACACAACUUAGAUCCCUCCAAUGCGCAGUUCACAAUAGGUUCCCCGCUCCUAUGAGAAUCUGAUGCCACCGCUGAUCUGAGGGAGGCGGAGCUCAGGAGGUAAUGCUCCCUUGCUUGCUGCUCACCUCCUGCUGUGCCUCCUGGUUCCUAACAGGCCAGGGAUUGGUUCUAUCCGCAGCCUGGGGCUUAAGGACCCCUGAGGGAACCAGACGAAAAUGCUCGUAUUAGUUGGUGAAAAGUGGUAUCAGGAAGUUAUUACAAUAAUCCAGCCAUGGUGAUAGUGGUGUGGGCCAGAGUGGUGGAAAUCGAGGUGAUGAAAACAACAAUGAAUUCUGUGCGUAUUUUAGAAGUAGAAUUAUAAGAUUUGUGGAUAUGUUAGUUUUGGAGUGUGAGGUCAAAGGCGUUUUGAGCAACUUGUAAGAAACCAUUUUUAAGGCGGAAGUCGGGAAUUUUGUUUUUUAUAUGUUGAAUUUGAAAUCCUUAUUAAACAUCCAAGUGGAGAGGCUGGAUAGACAAUUAAAUUUAGACCCUGAGGUUCGGGAAGGAAGUCCAAUGGGCUAGAGAUAUAAAUUUGAGAGUUGUCAACCUAAAAUAAUAAAAAAGGUAAGAAUCUAGUUUAAAGGAAGUUUAUUCAAGCAUAAAGGUUGAAGAUGGCUACCUGGGAGCAUAGAUUCAAGUUACCCUAAAUAUACACUCUGAUUAGCAGCGGUUAUGAGUGGGUUUUUAAAGGAAAAAGAGGCAGCUUCUAAGUUGUUUACUAAGAAUUUACAUUAAAAUUACAUUAGCUAUUGAUUGGCUAUAAACUAUUCUUUGUAUCACAGAUUCCAGGAACAUGAAGAUAAUGGGUGAGGCUGCUAGUCAGGAACAAAAUGUCUAAACAGUUGCCCCCAGGCAAACUCUUGUCUCUGGGCCUGAUAAAUUUUUGCAUACUUCACAUAGCUCAGACAGCUCAGAGCUGUUUGAGGUAUUAUCUUUUCUCAGAGUUCUGAGGGUGGUGGUGGUAUUUAAAUCCAUGACACUGUAAUCACCCAAUACGUUCUUCCUUCCCACUGCACAGACAAAAUCAAUUCAUAGAGACCAUGGCAUUGCAAUAAAGAAUUUAAUUGACAUGAGAUAGGUCUUGGAGAUGGAGUUAUUACUCCAAAUCUCCCCCAAAAUUCAGAGGGUAGGGUUUUUCAAGAAUAGUUUGGCUAAGAUCUGAGAGCUAUAGUCAAAACAAAACAAAACAAAACACCCACCCCCCCCCCAACACACACACAGUUUGGCAGGCAGGAGGCUGGAGGAAUGGGUGCUGCUGAUUGGUUGGGAAUGCAAUUAUAGGGGUGUGGAAAAUGGUCCCCCUGCACUGAGCCUGCUUCUGGGUGGAGGCCACAGGACUGGUUGAGCCAAGAGUCAAAGGUCUCAGUGGGGUCGUCAGCCAUCCGAAAUGCAGAAGCCUGAAAGUUUAUCUCAAAAGGCCAAUCUUAGGUUCUACAGUAGUGAACUGGGGAAGCUGCAAAUCUAGUGACCUCUGGAAUAGUGGCUGGUAAUCAUUUAACUUAACAAAGCCUAUGUCUUAGCAGAAUUCAAGCUCCUCUUAUCCUUCUAACCUGGUGGCUUUUCAUUAGUUUUACAAAAGUGGUUUAGUUUUGGGGAGGGGCUAUUAUCGCUUAAACUGUAAACUAAGUUUCUCCCAAAGUUAGCUUGGUGCAAGCCCAGGAAUGACCAAGGGCAGUUUUGGAGGUUAAAGAUGAGAAAGGAAAACCCCAGAUUCACUGAGCCAAAGGGAAAAGUCAAGCUGGGAACUGGGUCACACAAACCUGCCUCCCAUUUGGUUCCUAAAUAAGAUAGCUACAAAGAUAAAAGCUAUAUACUUCCCUCACAUUUUACCCACAAGGAAAUUCCUUUUAGGCCCAAAGAUCUUUACUCUAAAACAGUUCUGUUGAAUUUCAACCUGGCAAUGUAAGUUGAUAUCUUCACAGGUAUGGGACAUAGGACAGAAUUCAAAGUCUUCCCUCUCCUCACCUGAGACAAAUGCAUAUCUGAUUGCUUCCUCUGCCCUAUUGUCUACGUUAUCUUAUGUAAAAAUACAGAUUAACUGAGCCAGACUAAGGCAUGAAUAUUUCCUCCACUCCCCACUCACAUGAAAAUUGUGUAUUCAAAAGGAUGCAACUGUUUUAUCUUUUUAUCUACUGACACAAUUUAAAAAUAUUUCUUGGCUGGGCGUGGUGGCUCACGCCUGUAAUCCCAGCACUUUGGGAGGCCAGGCAGGCAGAUCAGGAGGUCAGGAGUUUGAGACCAGCCUGGCCAGUAUGGUGAAACCCCAUCUUUACUAAAAAUACAAAAAUUAGCUGGGUGUGGUGGUGCGCGCCUGUAGUCCCAGCUACUUGGGAGACUGAGGCAAGAGAAUCGCUUGGAGUUGGAGGUUGCAGUGAGCCGAGAUUGCGCCGCUGCACUCCAGCCUGGUGACAGAGCGAGACUCUGUCUCAAAAAAAAAAAAAAAUUUCUCUUCCCCCAGUAUCCACCCUUUCCCCUUUAAGUACUGAAGCCCUCAAAAUCAUCUUUGGAGAUAGGCAUAUACCUGCCUCCCUGGCAUGCAUCCUUUACUAUGGCAAAUAAACCUCCUAAAAUGAUUGAGACUUGCCUUGAUCGUGUUCUUUGAUUUACAGAGUCAAGGUGGGGGCUGGUUAGAUCAGAUCUCUCUCAGUCAUAAUUUUCUCACUGUUACAAUUUUUGCAAAAGAAGUUUCAAGACCUCAAGAGAUGAAGUGAGAGGCAUAAGUUGACAAUUGUCAGGGUCCCAUCCUUUCCCGCCAUGGCAGAUUGUUCAGAGAUUCUGUUGCCUUGUUUUCCUGAAAUUUUUUUUUUUUGGAGACGAAGUCUUGCUCUUGUCCCCCAGACUGGAGUGCAAUGGCACACUCUUGGCUCACUGCAACCUCCGCCUCCCAGGUUCAAGCAAUUCUCCUGCCUCAGCCUUCCAAGUAGCUGGGAUUACAGGUGCCUGCCCCCACGCCCAGCUAAUUUUUGUAUGUUUAGUAGAGACGGGAUUUUGCCAUGUUGGCCAGGCUGGUUUCGAACUCGUGACCUCAGGUGAUCCACCUGCCUCGGCCUCCCAAAAUGCUGGGAUUAUAGGCAUGAACCACCACACCCGACCUUCCUGAAUUUUUCAAAGAGCAAGUUGGUGAGCCCAAAUUGCACACUGUGAUCAGAGGGCAAAAAAAUUUCUUUGCAAAAGAAAUAAAGAAGUGAACCAUUUUACAAAACCAAAUAAUCAUUCAUCUAAAAGCUUCUUUCAUUCAUUUGACUGAUUUUUUUUUCAAUAUAAUCUACUUAAUGGGAAAGUAGGAGGAGGCAGGAAUGCAUAAAGUUCUGUUCAGUUGGAAAUCAGUUUAAAACUCAAUGUAUCUUCUUGCAGUCACUUAGGCCCAACUCCAGUCUGUUGUUUAUAGCAGCAAUCUCCAACCUUUUUGGCACCAGGGACUGGUUUCAUGGAAGACAAUUUUUCCAUGGACUGGGGAGGGAAUGGUUUCAGGAUGAAACUGUUUCACUUCAGAUCAGCAGGCAUUAGAUGGAGCCUGCAACCUAGAUCCCUCGCCUGCAUGGUUCAUGAUAGGGCUCGUGUUCCUAUGAGAAUCUAAUGCCGCUGUUGGUCUGGCAGGAGGUGGAGAUCAGGUGGUAAUGCUCACUUGCCUGCUGCUCACCUCCUGCUGUGUGGCUGGGUUCCUAACAGGCCAUGGACCUGUACCAGUCUGUGGCCCAGAGGUUGGGGACCCCUGCUCUACAGUACAGCCAAAGUGAUCUUUUCCACAUACAACCUUGUUCGUGUCUACUACCUUCCUCUGCCCCACCCCUGAAGAUAUUUAAAUGGCUUUUGAUGACACUUAGGAUAAAGCAUAAAAUAUUUAAUAUGGUAUACAAAAAUCUGCAUAGACUAGACCCUACCUGCCUCCUCAGUCUCACCAUGCCCCUCCUAGUCAUACUGGCCUCAUCUUAGGUCUUCCAUCGAGCAGUACUCCUUUUUUGCCUCAGGGAAUUUGCACAUGCUAUUCCAAUCAUACCUUCCCAACAUCUUAACUCAUUUCAGCAUUAACUCAAAAGUCCAAGUUCAAAGUCUGAUCUGAGACAAGGCAAGUCUCUUUCACCUACAAGCCUGUAAAAUCAAAAACAAGUUAGUUACUUCCAAGAUACAAUGGGGGUACAGGCAUUGGGUAAAUGUUCUCAUUCCACAUGGGAGAAAUUGGCCAAAACAAAGGGGCCACAGGCCCCAUGCAAGUCUGAAACCUGGUUGGGCAGUCAUUAAAUAUUAAACCUCUUAAAUACUCUCCUUUGACUCCAUGUCUCACAUCCAGUGCAUGCUGAUUGAAGAGGUGAGCUCCUAAGGCUUUGGGCAGCUCUUGCCAUGUGGCUCUGCAGGGUACAGUCCCAAAGGCUGCUUUCAUGGGCUGGAGUUGAGUGCCUGAAGCUUUUCCAGGUCCAGGGUGCAAGCUGUUGGUGGAUCUACCAUUCUGGGGUCUGGAGGACAGUGGCCCUAUUCUCAGAUCCACUAGGUAUUGCCCCAGUGGGGACUCUGUGUGGAUGCUCCAACCCCACAUUUCCCUUUUGCACUGCACUAGUAGGGGUUCUCCAUGAGGGCUCCGCCCAUGCAGCAGACUUCUGACUGGACAUCCAGUCAUUUCCAUACAUCCUCUGAAAUCUAGGCAUAGGUUUCUAAACCUCAACUCUUGGCUUCUGCACACUUGCAGGCCCAACACCACAUAAAAGCUGCCAGGGCUUGGGGCUUGUACCCUCUGAAGCAAUGGCCCAAGCUGUACCUUGGCCCCUUUUAGCCAUGAGGUGGAGUGGCUGGGACACAGGGCACCAUGUCUUGAGGCUGCACACAGCAGUAGAGCCCUGGGCCUGCCUAGCCCAGGAAACUAUUUUUCCCUCCUAGGCCUCUAGGUCUGUGAUGGGAGGGGCUGUCCUGAAGAUCUCUGAAAUUCCCUGGAGACAUUUUUCCCCAUUGUCUCAGCUAUUAACAUUCAGCUCCUUGUUACUUGUGCAAAUUCCUGCAGCCUGCUUGAAUAUCUCCCUGGAAAAUGGGUCUUUGUUUUCUACUGCAUGGUCAGGCUGCAAAUUUUCCAAACUUUUAUGCUCUGCUUCCCUUUUAAACAUAAGUUCCAAUUUCAGAUCAUCUCCUUGUGAACGCAUGUGACCGUUUGCUUUCAGAAAAAGCCAUGUGACAUCUUGAAUGCUUUGGUGCUUCGAAGUUUAUUCUACCAGAUACCCUAAAUCAUCUGUCUCAAGUUUAAAGUUCCACAGAUCUCUAAGGCAGGGGCAAAAUGCUGUCAGUCUCUUUGCUAAAGCAUAGCAAGAGUGACCUUUGCUCCAGUUCCCAAUAAGUUCUUCGUCUCCAUCUAAGACCAUCUCAGCCUGGACUUCAUUGUCCAUAUCACUAUCAGCAUUUUGGUCAAAAUCAUUCAACAAUUCUCUAGGAAGUUCCCAACUUUCCCACAUCUUCCCCAUGUCUUCUUCUGAGCCCUCCAAACUGUUCUGACCUCUGCUGUUACCCAGUUCCACACUUGCUUCAACAUAUUGAGGUAUCUUUAUAGCAGUGCCCCACUCCCAGUACCAAUCUUCUGUAUUAGUCCAUUUUCACACUUCGAUAAAGAACUACCUGAGACUGGGUAAUUUAUAAAGAAAAGAUGUUUAAUUGACUCACAGUUCUGCAUAGCUUGGGAGGCCUCAGGAAAUUUACAAUCAUGGUUGAUACAAUUACGCUGUGUUUCCACCCACAUCUCAUCUUGAAUUUUAGUUCCCAUAAUCCCCAUGUGUUGUAGGAGGGACCCAGUGGGAGGUAAUUGAAUCGUGGAUGCGGUUACCUCUAUGCUGUUCUUGGGAUAGUGAGUGAGACUCACAAGCUCUGAUGGUUUUAUAAGCAUCUGGCACUUCCCCUGCUGCCAUGUGAAGAAGGAUAUGUUGGCUUCCCUUUCCACCAUGAUUGUAAGUUUCCUGAGGCCUCCCCAGCCAUGCAGAACUGUGUCAACUAAACCUCUUUCCUUUAUAAAUUACCUAGUCUCAGAUAUUUCUUCAUAGCAGUGUGAGAAGGGACUAAUACAAUGGUGGACAGCAAAGGAGAAGCAAGCACCUUCUCCACAAGGCAGCAGGAGAGAGAGAGAGAGAGCAAAGAAGGAACUGCCAAACACUUAUAAACAUCAGACCUCGUGAGAACUCACUAUCACUAGAACAGCAUGAGGGAAACCAUCCCCAUGAUCCAAUCACCUCCCACCAGUCCCUCCCUCAACACGUGAUGAUUACAAUUUGAGAUGAGAUUUGGUUGGAGACACACAGCUAAACCGUAUCACUCCUUUUUUGCAUUUAUAAUUUUUAAAAUAUCACUUAUUCUUCCCCCUCUACUUACUGGAAUUUGUACAUCUUGCUUCUCUUCUUUUACUGGUUACCAUAGAAAUUACAGCAUGGAUCAUUAACUCAUUAAAGUCUAAUAUUAAUCAGUACUUUAUCAUCUUCCUAAACAAUACAUAAACCUUUCAAAUCUGUCUGGUCAUUUUUAAUAAUCCCUUGUUCCUUGCCUAUAUGAAUUUUUAUGAAUAUAUAAUACCAUGUAUCUGUCAUGGCACAUUGUACAUAAUAGUUUCACUGCCCUAAAAAUCUGUGCUUUACCUAUUCAUCCCAAACCAGCCUCCUCCCACACCCAUAGUAACCAUUGAUUUUUUUACUGUCUCUACAGUCUUGCUUUUUCCAGAAUGUCAUAUAGUUGGAAUUAUACAGGAUGUUGCCUUUCUGUUGUUUUUUUUUUUUUUUCACUUAGCAACAUGCACUUAAGGUUUGUCUGUGUCUUUUCAUGGCUUGACAGCUCACUUCUUUUAAUCACUGAAUAAUAUCCCAUUGUCUGGAUGUACCUUCUUUUUUUUUUAACCUAUUCACCAAUCGAAGGACAUCUUGGUUGCUUCCAAAUUUUGGCACUUAUGAAUAAAGUUCAUAUGAACAUUCAUGUGCAGGUUUUUAUGUGGACAUAAAUUAUGUUUUUUAUUUCAUCUUUUAUUUUCUUGAAUAUUUUAUACAGGCUUAUUUUAUUUUCCCUAUAUGAUAAUUCCAAUAUUUGAAGUUUCUGGGGGACUAAAUCAUUUUUUUUUUGUUGUUGUUUUUGUUCACUGACUCAUGGUGGCUUAAUCUCCCUGUAAUUUUUUAUUGUGAGUUUAUUUUAUUGAAUUUAAAUCAAUGGAAAUUCCAAGGGCCUACAUUUGGGAUGCUUUCCUUCAGAAGGACUUUUAUAUACCUCUGCUAAAAGCCAGAUGGCAUCCGGACCACUUUAGUGUGCGCUUCAAGGAUCCUGGAGCUUCAGCUUCCUCAUGUUGCCAUGGUUCCAGGUUUAGCUUCUGAUUCACAGAACUGGUGUUGGCAUUUGCAACAUAGUGAAAACUCCCAUAUCUAAUUUUUUAAAAAACAGAAAUUAAUGCAGAAGAAUAUUACUUCAAAGGUAUAGAAUUUUAAAACUAUCAAUAUCACCAACCAUAAAUGAGAAGAUUCGUACAUUUGACUAUAUUAAAAUAAAGAACUUUUGUUUGCCAAAAGAUAGCAUGAAAUAAGCAAAAAAGCAAGGUACAGAGUACAAGAUAUUUGCCACAUGUAUAAUUGAUAAAGAAUAGCCUCCAGGAUAUAUGAAAACUCUUUCAAAUCAAUAAUAGACAAUCACAUUGAAAAAAAAUGAGCAAAGACUUGAACAGAAGAAAAUAUAAAUGGUCAAUAAACAUGCAAAUAUGCUCACUCUCAUUAUUAAUUAGGGAAAUGCAAGUAUAACAACAGUGAGAUACCAUUAACUAUCCUCUAGAUUGGCUAAAAUUCAACAGUUUGAUAACACCAAUUGUUGGCAAGGAUGUGAUGCGGCAGGAACUCUUCAGACUGCUGUUGAUUAAUUGGUGUGUUCAGUUUGGGAAACAAUUUGGCAUUAUCUAGUAAAGUUGAAGAUACAUAUAUCCCGUGAUGGCUAUUCUACUGCCAGGUCGAUGAUCUUAAAGAUCUCCUAGGAUACAUGCAUCAGGAUAUUCAAAGCAGCAUUGUUCAUCAUACCCCACACUGAAUACAACAAAACGUCUAUCCACAGUAAAAUAAAUAAAUACAUCAUGGUACAUUCCUAUGAUGGGAUACAUUACAGCAAUGCAAAUGAACAAAUUGCAGUUCUACUCAACAACAUGGAUGAAUCUCAUAAACAAAAUAUUGAAUGACAGAAGUAAGGCACAAAAGAAUAUACACAGUAUGAUCCAUUCAUCUAAAGUUCAAAAUGAGGCCAAAUGAAAUGAUGUUGUUUAGGGAUACAGACACAGGUGGUAAAACUGUAUAGAAAAGCCAAGAAAAUGAUUAUCACAAAAGUCAGGAUAGUGGAUACCUCUGAUGAAGAGAGAGGAGUUUAUGACCAAGAGGAGACAAAGAGCAGGGACUGGGAGAGGGUAUGAGGAGGGGUUCUGGGAGUAGGAAAUGUUUCAUUUCCUCACAUUGGUAUGGUUCUGUAGGUUUUCCUUUCAUGAUGUUUCAUCAACGUGUAUAUUUAUGUCAGUUAUAUUUCAUAAUUGUUUUAAACAAAGGAAUGAUCAGCACAAGGAGUGGCAGAGGUAUGACAUCCAGGAAAAGUGCACGGGUAGCUUCACCAUUGUUGGUAAUGUUCUUAAGUUAGGUGUGGAUUCAUGAGUGUUCAUUUUUAUGCUCAUAACUUACAUAUAGUUUAUAUGUUAGAUACAUCUUAUACGUUAAAUAUGCAUAAGAAAUUUAUAAUAAAUUAAAAGCAGAGAGGAAUCCUGAUAGUAGGAAAUAGGAUGGUUUGCACCAGGAUUGUCAUCUAGGAAGCUAUCGUAUAGUUAAUCUGGACAUAAUAAGAAUGUUAGAGACUGGAGUCACUGCCAUCUCUUUCAGGGAAGAGAUUGACAGACAGGGGCCAUAUUUUCUACCAUAUUAUUCUCAUUCCCCUGACUACAUACAUAGAUGCCAAGACUAUAAAGCAAAAUCAUGAAAUGUUUAUCACAAAAGUCAGGAUAGUGGAUACUUCUGAACUGGAGGUGGGCACCCCUCUUUCUUAUCUUUUUGUCUUCAUAGAAAAGGUACAAAAAGACAUAUGUACUAACCAAAUUUCGAGGUUCCUAAAUAAUGGAGACUAACUCUCGGUUAGUUAGAGAGAAAAUGAAUUUAUUGAAAGGACAUUACAUAGCUCACAAAAUUGAUGGAAAAGCUGAAGAAUGAGGCUUGGAACUUGGAAAGGAGCCAUGGGAAAUUAGGCAGCCCGAAAUAGAGACCAAAUCAAUACACAGGAAGCAUCUGGUUAGUAUCCAACUGCGUCUGUCAUUGGCACAACCACCAUCAGACGUUGGACAGUACCCUUAUUGCUUCCUCUUCCACCUCUGGAAAGAUUCUAAGUGCCAUUUGCUUCUUUCUGUUACUCCAGAAUCAAGGUCUUAGGUAGGAGUGUCUGAUUGGAAGGUCCUGUGCCCAAAUUCUAGAGACAAGGGAUCUGGAAAAGGGGCUAUUUGUCCAUACUUAAGCUUCUUUAUUGGAUUUUUUUCCAAAUAGGAAGUGUUAGAUACUAGGAGGCCAAAAAUGAAAAACUCCUAUCACAAGGAAUAUUAGAAAUAAACAUAUCUGGCUUCUGCCUAUUCACAGCGAGGAGAAAAGAUUAAUAGGAUCAGUUAAGAUCUGUGAAAUUCACAGGGCCAUGCUUUUACUUGGAGACAAGGGAUUCUGCACAGUCACUGAACUGAAAGGCAGCCAGGCUUUCUCUUCCUUCUGCUUUGCAGUGCACCACUCUUUCUCUUUUCUAGUUUUUCUGCCUGUGAUUGGCAGUGGGAACUGGGGUGGAAUUCUGAUCAGUCCUGCCAGGCCAGGAAGCUAUCUUCAAUUCAGGAAGGUGAGAUGUGACCCUGCUGCUGUCUCCAAACUGGCCAGCAUCAGAGAACUCUUCAAGGGUAUGUUUUUGGGUGCCUGACCAACCACGAAGACAACUGACAUUUGGGCCGGGCAUGGUGUAAUCCUAGCACUUUGGGAGGCCAAGGCAGGAGGAUCACAUGAGCUCAGAAGUUUGAGGCCAGCCUGGGCAACAUAGUAAGACUUUGCCUCUACAAAACAUAGAAAUAUUAGCUGGAUGUAGUGGUGCAUGUCUAUAGUCCCAGCUACUUGAGAGGCUGAGGCAGGAGGAUGGCUUGAGCUGGGGAGAUUGAAGUUGCAGUGGAUGGUGAUAGCACCACAGCACUCCAACCUGGGCAGGCAACAGAGCAAGAUCCCAUCUCAAAAAAAAAAAAAGACAGCUGACAUUUGGAUUCUUGUUUGGCUGGUGAUCUAGUUUUUCUGUCAUGCAAAACCCUGGAGGAAAAGAGGGAUGGGUGAUAGGAAUCAGACUCUAAAUUCCACCCUAAACUUCCAGUUAGCGGUGCCUUAGACUGGCUGGUGAUACAACCUAAUAUGAAAUGGCUAUAUCAGAUUCAUCUCUUUGAGAAUCUGAACUUGGAAGAACUGAGCCCUCAGCAGAUGUGGGGAGAGAAGAGACACAUGUGAGAGGCUGUGUGAUAGUUGCCUUAGUAUUUGAUGAUGCUGUGAUCAGCUGCAGGCCAUAGUCUCCCUACAAAUAGUUAAUGAACACACUAAUGAAGUUCAAUCACGUUUAUGAAUAAACACUGAUUAAAACAAUGAGAUAGAUGUCUUCUUCUUUUUCUUUUCUUACUCAAAAUGUCAGUAACCCUGUUGGCAGGCGUAUAAGAACAGUUGUGCUCUUACACUUUGCUAUUGAAAGUAUAAAUUGAUAGACUUUCUGGAAGACAGCUUGGAAAUACAUAAAUAUAUACUGAAACUUUAAAAUUAUGCGUGUCCUUUGACCCAACAAUUACACUUCUUGGAACUUUUUUAUUUUUAUCUGUUUUAGAGAUAGGAUAUUGCUCUAUUGCCCAAGUUGGCUUCAAACUCCUGGGCUCAAGUGAUUCUCUCACCUCAGCCUUCCGAUAACUGGGACUACAGGCACACGCCACUGCACCCAGCCAUUGGAAUUUAUCCUAAAGAAAGAAUUUAGGAUGUGAAAAAAGAUUUAGUUAUAAAAGUUCAUUCAUCACAAUGCUAUUUACAAUAAGAAUAUUUCCAAACUGUUGGAAACAAUCUAAAUGUCCAGCAGUAUAGACUGACUAAAUUAUGAUGGAAGCUUAAAAUAGUAUAUUCAGCCAUUAAAAAUGGUUUUGCAGAAACUUACUUUUAAAUGAGGCUUCUGAGUCAAAAACAAAAACAAUUAAUCAUUUGUAGCAAAAGCAGCAGCCCAAGCAACAUCCUAUGUUGGUUUCCAAGGGUCAUCAUGAGGGCGAGAUGGUACCUGCACAUGCAGCGGGGUGCAUUACAGGACAGGAGCCCUGUAAAAAUUAGGAAACUCUGAUCUUCUAUAUAACUGCCAGAGACCUGCCCAUCAUCCUCUCCAGAGAGAGAGAAACCUUAGUUUACUCUGGAAUGUAAGCAAGUCUUGUCCAGGAAGGGAGGAAGAAGAGUUCUUUAUCUUUACUAUCCUGGACCAUCUCCAGGGAGGUAAACAUGUCUACGCUUUACUAUCCUGAGAUGUCUCCUUAUAUAAGUAUUCUUGAAUUGUUUGCAAUUGCCUUCGAUCAGAGGACCUGAGCCAUGCAGAAAAGUGAGAUGUUCAGGGUAAAUCUUCUUCUAACAUUGACUGUAUGUGAAGGGCAUUAGAUGCAACUGUCAAUUUUUUUUCUCAGUUUGAAAAAGUUUUUAUUUUUUAUUUCCCAUUUCUUAGAGACAGGGUCUUUCUCUGUUGCCCAGGUUAGAGUACAGUGGCAUGAUCACAGCUCACUGCAGCCUCGAAUGCCUGGGCUCAAGCCUCAGCCUCUCAAAGUGCUGGGAUUAUAGGCAUGAGCCACCAUGCCUGGUUUUGAAAAAGUUUUAAGAGAAAGUUUGGGAAAAUAAUAUUGCAUAAAUGUAUUUGACAUGGACGUUGUUUAGAAUAUGCUAAGUAAAAAAGUGGAUUAUACAUGGCAUGUAGUAAGAUCCCAUUUUUUAACAAUUAGGUAUAGGUGUUUGUCUAUGGAGAAAAAAAUCUGGAGGGGGUAUACCAAUAUAUUAAUAAUGUUUAUUUUUGGGUGAGAGACAGCAUCAUUUGUUUUCAAAUGUUCUUUCUGUUUAUAUGUGUUUUGCUUUUUCUCCAAUGAAUGUAGUAGUUUUUGUGAUUAAAAUUUCUUUUUCUUUUCUUUUCUUUUUCUUUUUUUUUUGACAGGAUCUCACUCUGUUGCCCAGGCUGGAGUACAGUAGUGCAAUCAUAGCUCACUGCAGCCUUGAACUCCCAGGCUAAAGCAAUCCUUCUGCCUCAGCCUCCUGAGUAGCUGGGACUACAGGUGCAUACCACCACAUCUGGCUAAUUUUUAAAUUUUUUGUAGAGACAGAGUCUCCGUAUGUUGCCCAGCUGGUCUUGAACUCCUGGGCUCAAGUGAUCCUCCUUCCUUGGCCUCCCAAAGUGUUGGGAUUACAGGCAUGAGCCACUGCACCUGGACUUAAAUUUUUUCUUUGUAUCAGAAACUAUAAUUCCUCUUUUUCUUUCUGUCUUCUAUUGAGGGUAGAUAUCAGUAAUAUGGGUUUUUUGUUUUUUGUUUUUUAUUUUUGCUAGUUUAGCUAAAUCUUGGAUAAAAUUAAACUUUCCUAUAUGAGGGAAGAGAAAAAGGUAAGAGGAAAAUAGCAAUACUAAGAGAAAGGAUGGAGGCCGGGCAAGGUGGCUCACACUUGUAGUGUCAGCACUUUGGGAGGCUGAGACCUGUGGGCUGCUUGAGCCCAAGAAUUUGAGACUAGCCUAGGCAACAUGGUGAAACCCCAUCUUUACAAAAAAUACAAAAAUUCGCCAGGUGUGGUGGUGGGCACCUGUAGUACCAGCUACUCAGGGGACUGAGGUAGGAGGAUAGCUUGAGCCCAGGAGGUCGAGGCUGCAGUGAGCCUUGAGUGGGCCACUGUACUCCACUGCACCAGACAAAACCAGAGAGAGCAUGGGGGAAAAGUAAAAACAGGGAAACUUGGGAGAAGAGGCAGGUCUUGCGGGGGUUUGAAGUGAAAUGCUGAUUGAUAUAAACUCCUUUAUCCACAACCCUUACAAAGUCAGUAAAUUCUUUGAUGUUUUCAUAUGAGUGGAAUUUUUAGUGGGAAGCUCAGAGAAAAGGAAGAGGAGACAAUAGUAAUAUAGGUUGCAUUUUGGGUGUUGUAUAGGAGCUUCAAAGGAAUGUGCUUAGCUAUAUUUAGAAUAAAUGAUCACCUAGAAUAGUGGUUCUCAAACUCUUAAAAGUUAUUGAAGAUCCUAAAGAACUUUUUCUAAUGUGGCUUAUAACUAUGUAUUAUUUACCAUAUUAGAAAUUAGAACUAAGAAAUGUAAAAUCACAAGAAAAUAUAAACCCUCACAAUGAUGACUUCGUUACGCAUCAGGUAGACUCUGGAAAACUCCCUUCUACAUUUGUUGGUGAAAGAGGGUGAAAAAGACAAAUAACAAGUUAGCAUUAUUAUUAAAGUAGUAUUGACUUCAUGUUCUCCCUGAAAUGGUCUUGGAGUUCCAAACCAAACUUUGAGAACCACUGACCUAGACAAUUAAUAUUUUGUGAGGUAGGAUAUUGACUUCUACUUCUGCCCCAUUUUCUCUUUUCUCUCUAGUGUUCUGUUGUUUAUAUAUUGGACCUCUUCUGAUUCUUUUAUCUUUUCUCUUCUGUUGUUCAUUGUCAUCUUCUUGUUUUUCUUCCCUUCCCCCCCCACUCUUCCUCCUCCUUCUUAUUUUUUCUUCUUCCUUUUUCUUCUUUCUUCCUCCUCUUCUCCUUCCUCCUCCUCCCCUUCCUAAUCUUCCUCUUCCUCCUUCUCCUCCUCCUCCUCGUCCUUCUCCUCUUCCUUUUUUUCUGAGACAGGGUCUUACUCUGUCACCCAGGCUGGAGUGCAGUGGUACAACCACAGUUCACUGUAACCUUGACCUCCUGGGCUCAAGUGAUCCUCCUACUUCAGCCUCCCAAGUGGUUGGAACUACAGGCACACACCACCACACCUGUCUAAUUUUUUUUAAAUUUUUUGUAGAGAUGGGGUUUCAUUAUGUUACCCAGGCUGGUCUUGAAAUCUUGGGCUCAGUUGAUCCGCCUGCCUCAGCCUCCCAAAGUGCUGAGAUUACAGCUGUCAGCCACUGUGUCUGGCCUCUUUUUUUAUUUCUUCCUGGGAGAUUUCUAUAAUUAUGUUUUCCAACCUAAUUCUUUGAAUGCUGCUUUAAUUUUUCAUUUUUAUUUUUUGUAUAUAGCAUCCUGUUUGGUUUUGGGUAUACUAUUUUCUUAAAUUUCUUUGAGGAUAUGAAUUAUUGUUUUCCUUUCCUCCCUAUAUGAUCUCUAUUUCUUCCAAGUUCUUUUUAAUGCUCGUUGUCCUCUUUGUCUUUUGUGUUAGAAAAUUUUCCUCAAAUAUCUGAUGUUAUUUAGUUGUUUGCCUGUAUUUAAGAGUGAAGCACUAAAAACUGAAACUGUGUGACUAGCUGGGGCCUGUUUACUGUGGGCCUUGCUGUAGAAUGCUCACAGUCAUUAGAAUGACCUUAGCACUAUCUGACAAAUCCAUGAUAAUGCAGAAUUCGGUUGGAUAUCAUUUAAUGUCCAUAGGGGUGUGACCCUACCAUGAAGAAGGACAUGAAAACAUUUUGGGAUUCUACCAACUCCAAAAAGGUUUUAACAGACUGUGAUGGUUAAUAUUGAGUGUCAACUUGAUUGGAUUGAAGGAUGCAAAGUAUUCUUCCUGGGUGUGUCUGUGAGGGUGUUGCCAAAGGAGAUUAACAUUUGAGUCAGUGGACUGGGAGAGGCAGACCAACCCUUAAUCAGCUGCCAGCACUAUCUAAUCAGCUGCCAGGGUGGCUAGGAUAAAAGCAGGAGGAGGAAAGUGGAAGGACUAGACUGGCUUAGUCUUCUGGCCUCCAUCUUUCUCCUGUACUGGAUGUUUCCUGCCCUUGAACAUCAGAUUCCAGGGUCUUCAGCUUUUGGACUCUUGGACUUACACCAGUGGUUUGCCAGGGGCUUUUGGGCCUUUGGCCACAGACUGAAGGCUGCACUGUCAGCUUCCCUACUUUUGAGGUUUUGGGACUCGGACUGGCUUCCUGGCUCCUCAGCUUGCAGACAGCCUAUUGUGGGAUUUCACCUUGUGAUUAUGUGAGCUAAUACUCCCUAAUAAACUCCCUUUCAUAUACACAUUUAUCCUAUUAGUCCUGUCCCUCUAGAGAACCUUGACUAGCACACAGACUUAAAUAAGAAUCCUGAGGAUCCAAUGGAAUGACCAUAAGUAUCUUUACAGGUAGUUGGAAAACAUUACAUAUCUAAGGAUAAUUGAAGAAAUGUAAAACCAAGUAGUGAUGAAAGAUGUUAGCUACAAUAUUUUUUUUGAGACAGGUUUUCACUCUGUCACUCAGGCUGGAUGCAGUGGCAGAUCAUGGCUCACUGCAGCGUCAGCCUCCUGGGCUCAGGUAAUUCUCCCAUCUUAGCCUCCCGAGUAGCUGAGACUACAGGCACACACCACCACACGCAGCAGAUUUUUUGUAUUUUUAUUAGAGACAGGGUUUCACCAUGUUGCCCAGGCUGGUCUUGAACUCCUGGGUUCAAAUGAUUCACCCGCCUUGGCCUCUCAGUGCUGGGAUUACUGUGCCUGUCCUAGCUACAAUCUUAUUUGGGGUUGCAAACUCCAGGAAUAAAGGAAUAUUUAGGACUGAAACUCAAGGACUGGAUUUUAGAGUCCAGAAUGUAGUGACUACAGAAAGGAACUUAGCUCGGCAAUCAGAGUCACAAGAAAUAUUUCCAGGGUGUCUUAUAAUUCCAAGUCUCAUGCUCAGCUGAAGUGUUUGGUCAGAGUAAACUCAGCCAGCUGAGAAGAUGAUGUUCCCCUAAGUGGAAAGGCAAUGUUUCUUCAAAUAAACAACUUUCUUUAACUUUAUGAAAUUUAGAAUUUAGAAAAGUUACAAAGUAAACAUAUGGUAUUAAAUGUUAGUUAAAAUCCUUAUUUUAGGUACUCCUUUUUAUUCUUUUUUUAGAGAUGGGGUCUUGUUCUGUCCUGUCAAGGAGCAGGUGUCCCUGAGAACCCAAACAUUCCAGAGAGUAUCUGAGAACCUACCUGGGAAAAAAGUCCCAUAACACACACAGUAGGCAAAGAGCCAGAAAAUUAGUUUAAAAGCAGCAUAGGGAUGGGAGGCAGCAUGGGCCUCUAAAGCUGUCCUGCUGCUGUCCGGGAGUACCUCCUAUAUAAGUCCUAAUAAACUCAUCUACUUGCCAAACUGGACUUGUCUGAGUCAUUGUUUGGUCUCUUGGCUCCCUCCCAGCUUGGGGGAAGGUUUUUCUAUAUGAUUCCAGGUUUUUCUCAUUACAGGCAUGAUAAUGCAUGCAUGUAGUCCUGAGCUACUUGGGAGGCUGAGGCAGGAGGAUUGCUUGAGUCCAGGAGUUUGAGGCUGCCAUGAGCUAUGACAGCACCACUGUAUUCCAGCCUGGACGGUACCUUGCUCAAAAAAAAAUAAAAAUAAAAAGGCAUAUUAGAGAAACAGAUUAGCCUGUGAUUCCAAUUUAACAUAUAAAUUGUGUAACUGACUUAGAUUUGGGAUUCAAGAUUUAACUCUUACUAAAUUUAUAACAGUAUUGGACCAUUUAAGUGACAUUAAGUCUUAUUGUAUUUAUAAAUUUAAUUAUCAUGAGACAUUUCAUUUGAGAAGUUAUUUGUAGGAGCUUUUCUUGGGAAGUUUUGUUAUAAGCCAAUUGAAGAAUUUAAAAUGAAAAUGAAAUUAUUAUACACUAGUAAUAAUUUUCAUUUGUUUGUUUGUUUGUUUGUUUUGAGACAGGGUCUCACUCUGUCACCCAGGCUGGAAUGCAGUGAGGCCAUAUCAGCUCACUACAACCUCCGCCUCCUGGGUUCAAGAGAUUCUCCUGCCUCAGCUUCCUGAGUAGCUGGGAUUACAGGCAUGCACCACCAUACCCGGCUAAUUAUUUUAUUGAGACGGAGUUUCACCAUUUGGCCAGGCUGGUCUUGAACUCCUGACCUCAAGUGAUCUGCCCACCUCAGCCUCUGAAAGUGCUGGGAUUACAGAUGUGCACCACUGCACCCAGCCAUGUUUGUUUGUUUUUUGAGACAGAGUUGCACUCCUGGCCUUAAGCAAUCCUCCCACCUCAGCCUCCCAGGUAGCUAGGAUUACAGGUGUUUAUUACAUUUAUGAACAUGAUUUAAAAAUGAUUAAGGGAAUUAAUUAAUUAGAUGCUAAAAAUUCCCUUAAAAGUUAAUAUUGCAUUUUGGUAGAUUUUAUAAACCUACCAAAUCAGAUCUGGAAAUUGAAUUUAAAAGUUUAAGGAAGAACUAGGUUUUAAAAAUUGCAAUAGGUAAAAUAUGAAUUAAAAAGAACAAACUGGUCUCUGAAUAAUUUUUCUGUGUGCAAAAAAUUGCCAUUAAAUGCAUAAAGUACCCACAUUGACAAUUUGAUGAGAAUUGGAUGUUUUUAUUGAGAAAUUCCCAUAUGACAGUAUAUGUGGGUCAUUUCUCUAGAUUGUCCAGUUUCCAAGAACAGUCCUUCAAUCCCUUGCUUGUGCAAGAAUAACCUGCAGCAGGGCUGGCUUCAUGGGCCAGCAUCCCAUGCAGUCUCACAGGGCCCUGCUCUUAGAAGGACCUCACACUUGUUCUAAUGCUCUGCUCAAAAAAAAAAAAAAAAAAAAAAAAAAAAGGCAUAUUAGAGAAAUAGAUUAGCCUGUGAUUCCAAUUUAACAUAUAAAUUGUGUAACUGACUUAGAUUUGGGAUUCAAGAUUUAACUCUUACUAAAUUUAUCACAGUAUUGGACCAUUUAAGAGAAAUUUUGCCAUCUUGAAAAUUUUAUUUUAAACAAGGAGCCCUACAUUUUUAUUUUGCACUGGGCCCUGCAAAUUCUGUAGCCAGUCUUGCCCUGUAGUCAGAGUUGUGGCAGCCAAGCAGUAGGAGAGGGCUGGAGUUUCAAAGGUCAGUGUGCAGACUCUCCCCAGUCCCUGAGUUUUCUCAGUUGCCUCCCUCUCACCCACCAAGUUGUGCCUAUUGUCCACCAGUCCGUGGUCUCUCCAGUCCAACUUUAAAAGAUCCACUUUCCUGCCAGGGUCGAGGGGAGGAACUGUCAGCUGGCCAUAUGGGCUAGAGGAGGAGGAGAUGAGGGGAAUAUCUAGUUCCCCUGCUUUUGCUAAUUCUGUGGUAGGAAUUACCUUGCCUUUUUCAUUUGUGUUUUUGAGACAGGGUCUCAUUCUGUUGCCCAGGCUGGAGUGCAGUGGCAUGAUCAUAGCUCACUAAAGCCUUGAACUCCUGGGCUCAAGCGAUCCUCCCACCUCAGCCUCCCGAGUAGCUAGGAUUACAGAUAUGCACCACCACACCCAGCCUGAAUCACCUUGUUUUUGAGGCUUUCUCCCCUGCAGACACUUGCAGAAUGGAAAAAGUUGAAACUUAAUUACCAAUUAGCCUAUUCCAAAAUUUUGCUGACAUCUCAACUCUAAUGUAUCUCCUUUCUCAUUCUUUGCCCUUAUGGAUUUAUGCCUUUUGUUCCUUUAUUUAGGUUUUGGGAGAAACAGGAGAAAAUGCAGGUGUUCAAUCUGCCGGGCAUGACAAGUGGUCUCAAUUUAGCUUCCAUAGAAACAAGGACUUUUCUCCUUAGUACUCGAUUUUUGUUGCUUUAUGUAAUACUUAAUCAAAUGAUAUAAUUACAAUGACAAGUACAACUGGCAUAAAUAAGUUUAAGAACAAACCCAUUUUGGCCGGGCGUGGUGGCUCACGCCUGUAAUCCCAGCACUUUGGGGGGCCGAGACUGGUGGGUCACGAGGUCAGCAGAUCGAGACCAUCCUGGCUAACACGGUGAAACCCCGUCUCUACUAAAAAUACAAAAAAAUUAGCCGGGCGUGGUGGCAGGCGCCUGUAGUGGAGGCUAAGGCAGGAGAAUGGUGUGAACCUGGGAGGUGGAGCUUGCAGUGAGCCGAGAUUGCGCCACUGCACUCCAGCCUGGGCGACAGAGUGAGACUCUGUCUCAAAAAAAAAAAAAGAACAAACACAUUUUGACUCUUGGUAAAUAUGCACCUCAGUUAGUGGGGACAGAAGUAUGCGGGCAUUAGUCAUUUUACAGAAGGAAUGAGAGUUGUGGUUAAGUUGGGCAAGUUGGAUUAAAUGGAGAUUAGUCAACUGAGUUUCUAUUUUAAAUAAAUGAAUAUAAGGCAUUCAUUAAGAGGGUGCAUUAUUGAAAGUCUAAAUGAUUUGGCUUCUUGGACAACCAAUUUAACUUUAAAGAAGCUAAUCUGUCUUUUUUUUUUUUUCUUUAGAAAAGAAUGGGGUUUCAUUCUUUUUGCCCAGGCUGGAGUGUAGUGGCGUGAUCACAGCUCACUGCAGCCUCAAUCUCCCAGGCCCAAGCAAUCCUCCCUCUUCAGCCUCCCAAGAAGCUGGGACUACAGACACAUACCAUGACACCCGGCUAAUUAAAACACAAUUUAUUUUUGUUUUUAUUUUUUUUUUUGUAGAGACGGGGUCUCCCUAUGUUUCCCAGGCUGGUCUUCAAGGCUCAAGGAAUACUCUCGCUUUGUCCUCCCAAAGUGCUGAGAUUACAGUUGGGAACCACCGUGCCCAGCCUAAUCGGUGUUUUAAAAAGCCUUAAGCAAACAACUGCCUUUCUGGGAUCAGAGUCUUUUCUGCACUUUGACAUGGGUAGUAUCGAAGAGUCCAGAGUAACCUCCUGACUCUUGGCCCCUGCUCUGUCCUAACUCCCAACAAUCCCUGCCUCUGCCUUUAUCUCCUAGUGGACUUUUGAGCUGCUUUGACCUCAAAGACCUUGGUUUGCAUGUAUGAGUCAUACCUUGUGAGGCUCCCUUUCAUAGGUACCUGGCUGUCUAGCCUCUAGCCUUUGGGGAAUUCAGGGCAGACUGACUUGUCUUUCUGUUGGCUUCCUCCAAUGCAGGAUGUUAGCUUCAGUUUCUCUGCUCUACGUCAGUUAUCCAUUCUUUGUUUUCCAUCUUCCAUAAUUCUGACAUUUUCCAUCUAUCAUCACCUGUAUUUGUCUUUAUAUUUGAAGAGUUUAUAUCUCUAUUUUAUUUUAUUAUUAUUAUACUUUAAGUUUUAGGGUACAUGUGCACAAUGUGCAGGUUUGUUACCUUCACAGAUGGGAACUGAACAAUGAGAACACAUGGACACAGGAAGGGGAACAUCACACACCGGGGACAUCUUUUUUAAAAACAUUGUUAUCCCUUUACUAUCAGUUUAAUGGAAGUUCUGAGGGGUAGAGAAUCACUGCUUCUCUUGAGUAAUUCAUGUUUGACUUUCUCUCUACUGUGGUAGGUUCCUAUUUCCUAAGCUGAUAUUUCCUUCAUCUCCUGAUUCUUCUGAAAACAGGAGUCUCAGUUUUUAGCUUUCUAGACAAUUUGAAAAAGACAUCUACUCAGCCUUCAGAGCCCUAUUUGUUCUGUGGUUAAUAUGCAGCCAGAAACAAGUCAAUGUAAGUCAGCUUUUGCAAAUAUCAAUUAGAACUUAGGGGAUGUGUCAGGAUAAAACUUAAAGUGUAAUUAGUUUAAGUCAAGCUAACUCUGGGAAAUUUCCUCUUGAUAGAAAAAUAAUAUUCAUAAGGUCAGAUGAGCUUUUCUCCUUUGACUGUUAAGAAGGGAAUAUUUAGGGAUUGGAAGUUAAAAUUUUCCUUAGAACGAGAUUUAGAUUUGUAACAUUUCCUAAACUCACAGCAAUUGUUUUUUUGUACAAUUGCAUGGCACUUUCAGUUUCAAAGAUCCUUUUUUUUGGGAGGUGGGUAGAACUUAAAAUAAUACCUUCCAUCUUUAGUACAGUUGUUAGUGGGGUAUUGGUUCCAGGACACCCCCACAGAUAACAAAAUCUGCAGUUGCUCAAGUCCCUUAUAUAAAAUGGCAUAUGUAGUAUUUGCAUGUAACCUAUGCACAUUUUCCUGUAUGCUUUAAAUCAUCUCUAGAUUACUUAUAAUACCUAAUACAAUGCCUACACAUCACUUCUUUCACAUAGAUUCAAUGUAGUACUAGGUGAACAGCAAAUUCAAGUUUUGCUUUUUGGAAUUUUGUGGAACUCCCCACCCCCA